rnacentral:rRNA from 1 species
GAUGAAUGCUGGCGGCGUGCCUAACACAUGCAAGUCGAGCGGCGGCGAGGGGUGCUUGCACCCUGUCGGCGAGCGGCGAACGGCUGAGCAACGCGUAGGAAUUUGCCCCAAAGUGAGGAAUAACUGCCCGAAAGGGUAGCUAAUGCCGCAUAUGGUCUUCGGAUUAAAGGAUUUAUCCGCUUUGGGAGAAGCCUGCGUUGGAUUAGGUUGUUGGUAGGGUAAUGGCCUACCAAGCCGACGAUCCAUAGCUGGCCUGAGAGGAUGAUCAGCCAGACUGGAACUGAGACACGGUCCAGACUCCUACGGGAGGCAGCAGUGAGGAAUCUUCCACAAUGGGCGAAAGCCUGAUGGAGCAACGCCGCGUGAAGGAUGAAGGCCUUCGGGUUGUAAACUUCUUUUAUGAGUGAAGAAUAUGACGGUAACUCAUGAAUAAGCACCGGCUAACUACGUG